UACGUAGGGUGCAGGCGUUAAUCGGAAUUACUGGGCGUAAAGCGUGCGUAGGCGGUUUGUUAAGACAGGUGUGAAAUCCCCGGGCUUAACCUGGGAACUGCGCUUGUUACUGGCAGACUUGAGUGUGGCAGAGGGGGGUGGAAUUCCAGGUGUAGCAGUGAAAUGCGUAGAUAUCUGGAGGAACACCGAUGGCGAAGGCAGCCCCCUGGGUCAAGACUGACGCUCAUGCACGAAAGCGUGGGGAGCAAACAGG
rnacentral:rRNA from 1 species